rnacentral:rRNA from 1 species
GACGAACGCUGGCGGCGUGCCUAACACAUGCAAGUCGAACGAGGUCCAGGGAAGCUUGCUUCCUGAAGACCUAGUGGCGAACGGGUGAGUAACACGUGAGAAACCUGCCUCGGAGCGGGGAAUAACUCGGGGAAACUCGAGCUAAUACCGCAUACCUUCACAUGAUCGCAUGGUCGAGUGAAGAAAGAAUUUCGCUCUGAGAGGGUCUCGCGGCCUAUCAGCUUGUUGGUGGGGUAACGGCCUACCAAGGCAACGACGGGUAGCUGGUUUGAGAGAACGAUCAGCCACACUGGGACUGAGACACGGCCCAGACUCCUACGGGAGGCAGCAGUGGGGAAUCUUGCGCAAUGGGCGAAAGCCUGACGCAGCAACGCCGCGUGCGGGAUGACGGCCUUCGUGGUUGUAAACCGCUUUCAGCAGGGACGAAAAUAGACGGUACCUGCAGAAGAAGACCCGGCUAACUACGUGCCAGCAGCCGCGGUAA